GAGGAGGAGGAUCCUAGGACCCAGGUUUCUGAACUGCAGCUACUCAUGCCUAUGCUGCUCUGGGCAUCAAAUACUCUACAGAACCAUACUUCACCAUCAUACCCUGACACAUCCUUCAAGGCCGAUGAAAACAUUGAACAAGGUUUUCACCUGAUACUGAACCCAGCUGACAACAUAGCACCAGCACAAUGAAAUAAGCAAAACAUUACUCUGCCUGAAAAAGACAAGUAGAGAGGGACAUGACCAGACUGGUCAGAAAAUGUCCCAACUCUAUCUACUUCAAGCUUCAGGUCUCACCUGAGGCCAAUAACAAUUUCUCACUGAAAAUACUGGAAGCUGAAUGAGUACUAGAAGUGGUUUG